AUACAAGGAAAAUAAAAUGUAUGUUUUCAGUUAGAAAGGUAUAAAAAUAGAGAUAUUUGUCUUUGUUCUGUUAAAAAAGAUAAAUUUGUCCUAAAGUAUUAAAAAGAAAAAAAAAGACAUCGUACAAAUUCUAAAUGUAAAACGUAAAUGACAUAAAGUUUGCAAAAGUAAAACUUUGAGGAGUUGUGUGUAUGGUCAAGUUGGCUGAGAUUAAAAUAAAUAAGUUUCAAUAUCAAAAGUAACGAUAGUCACAAAAACAGCCACUGGCUCCAGUGUGUGCACAGGAGCUAGGGCACGCCAAGAGUGCAUCCCGCUGGGGACAAAAAGUGCCUGCAGGGGCAGGGAAAUGCAGUAAAUGCAGGGUCCAGCCACCCUGCACCUGCAGGAGCAGCAGGUGGCCAGGACUCCUCCCCUGCCCCUGCCUCCUCUCUGGCGACAUGACUGAGGCUGAGCAAAGCACAGAGACAGCAGUCUGCACAGUGACUGUCGCAGCCCACGGAGCAGCAAGCACCCUCUGAGAAAAAAGAAAAAAGUCAUAAACAAGCAAACGCUGUUCUGGUGGCUUUAACAGUGCCCACAGUGACAGCCUGGGAACGCCCUAGCCCCCUCGACUGGAUGGAGGGCCAAAGGACCUUGACCCGUCCCUGCAGCGCCGUUCAGGUAGCUUAGGUUUUGGGCGACCAGGGGUCACAAGUGGAAAUAACAAUGUAUUGGUCUACAGGAGCAGAAAGCAUUUUGUUGUCAGAGGUGAAAAUGAGCAAAAUGACUUCCAUCGCUUCUCACCUCACUCUGCGGCCGUGCUUCUGGAACACUGCCCAGUGGACAAAACCUCCUGAGGUUGCCUUGUUUCAUUAUAUUGAUGGUGUAUUAACCUCUAAGUCUUUUCCAGACCUUCAAGAAGCCUCCUUCUCCCUCGCUGCCCACCUAUGCCAACGAGGAUGGGUAGUAAACAAGAAUAAAGUACAAGGGUCUAGGUUAUCUGUCAAAUACUUGGUGUUAUCUGGUCGGGUAAGACAAAAGCAGUUCCUGCUACUGUUAUAGAUAAGACACUCUUUAAAAGUUGGUGCCAAAGGGAAUCAUCUGGGACUGGGGGACCACCGAGCAGGGGGCCUUCACUCAACCCGAAGCAGCAGUGAAACAAAUCCAGUCCGUGGGUGUUCUAACACAAAGAAAAACGUGUGGACUGGAUGUCUCCAGUCACCCAGUGGGGUUUGGAUGGGGUCUCUGGCAGAGGCAAAGCAAUAAACCAGUGCCCCUCGGCUCUGGUCCCAAUUGUGGAAAGGGGCUCCCCCUGCGGAUGGCACAAUAAAUAUGACAAAAGUGAGCUAUUAAAGGUCACCCCUUGUGGGGGCAGAACUCUAGGAUGGUAUGUGGCAGCAGGUCUAGGGAAUGACAAUAACAGUGUAUGGUGUGUUUGCACAUCAGCCGACAAUGCCGCCAGGAAACCAACAAACAGAAGAGUUUCCAUCUCCUGGAAAAAGUGCCAACCAAAAGUGGCUACAUAAGAAGAAUGGACACAAAGGACAAAGGACCCAAUGGGCUAUUGCCAAGGACUGGGGCCUCCUCUUGCACUAUAAUAGGGUGCAGAUCUGUCGGGUGUACCCUUCUUAUUCCUUACAGAGACAGAGACCCUGGGCCAUUCCUCAGGACACAGGCCAAAUUGCCAGAAGCAACCAGCCUGCUCAAUGCUGGCAGAUGAACUACAUCAGGCCCUUGCCUCUUUCUGAUGGCUGUCGGCAUGCCCUUACUAGUGUGGACACAUCUACAGGACUGCUACAGACAUAUCCCAGCAGGAGAGCCACACAGAAGACCACCAUGAGAGGCCUGGGACACCUCUGUGCUGCCUAUGGUGUUCCCAUGAACAUUGACAGUGACCAAGCCACAGGGCUAGUGGAAUGAAUGAAUGACUUGCUGAAAUAACAAUUGGGGACAGAAAACAGGACCCUAGCCCACUGGACAAGACACCUGACGACUACAAUAUGUGAACUGAAUAAACAUAAGAUACACCCAACCCAGUCCAUAUCAGAUGUUGACACAAGGACCUGAUAUGAUGGUAUGUCUACAGAUAAAAGCAAUAAAAAAAAAAAAACUACAACCAAAGCUGGGCACUCAGAACAACUUGCUUUUGCCUCUGCCACAGAACUCCCUACUGGGGCCCAGAUGGUCACUUGGCCCUGGGACCGGCAGGCAGGGCUCCACUGGUAUAGUCUCUUAACCCCUUUGAGGACAGGCUUAAAACAAGAUAUCAUGGUAACACCUCUAAUUCCCCAAGGCACUUUCAUCCUUUCCCUCUGGUGUGCCUUGUUGGAUAGUCAUGACCUCCCUGUUCUAGUCCCCUCUAAACAUCUUCCUUUUCAUCCUUAGGACAAUGUCUGCCAACCUUUCCACUGCAUGGACACACACUGGUGCUGACAUACAAAACCGUUCCACCUGCUGGGUAUGCAGCAAGCUGCUUGCCUUCAACCACAGGGUUACCAUGGCAUCUCCAAGCUGCCAACGCCUCUGACUGGAGAGCCCCAUGAGAAUGGAGGAAUGCCGCCCACUUUCCCAUUCCUACUCCCUUCCACUUGCAACAUGUUUUCUUUGGUGUCCUUGCCUUUUUAAUACUUUUAUUUUCAUGUCGUGCUCUUGGUUGCUGUUGUAGUUUCUGGCUACAGUGCUCCUCCAGGUCAAGGGAAACCAUGGAACACUGGCAUGAUAAGAUUGUAAGGGCCAUUUGGACACACAGGGGGUAAAGUGUAGGGGCAUUAGCUGGCAUGCCCCUUUGAAAACCAUGUGUACUUGAGGCUCCUUGUCUGGGCUACACACCAGCACUCAUGAUGAUAACAGUCCUGGGCUUGGCCAACCCAACUGCUUUCUCAUGGGAGAGUUAGCAACAAGACCCUCAUGGUCUGAGGGAACAUGGAGGCCCUCUGGGGUGGGUGGGGCUCGGGUCCUUGGAAUACAGGUCAUACAAGGACAGUCCCCCAUGGCAAGCACGCAGCUUUUGUUCCUUUGCCUACUUAAGCAAGCUUCUCUCAGGGGGUGGUAGCGGGUGCAUGUUGCUGUCCAGCCAGCCAUCAAUGGACCUUCCCUGUAAGUAACUCC
ensembl:lncRNA